rnacentral:rRNA from 1 species
UACGUAGGGGGCAAGCGUUGUCCGGAAUCAUUGGGCGUAAAGAGCGUGUAGGCGGCCAGAAAAGUCCGCUGUGAAAACUCGAGGCUCAACUUCGAGCUGUCGGUGGAAACUUUCUGGCUAGAGUCCGGAAGAGGAGAAUGGAAUUCCUGGUGUAGCGGUGAAAUGCGCAGAUAUCAGGAGGAACACCCAUGGCGAAGGCAGCUAACUGGGCAUUAUCUGACGCUGAGGCGCGAAAGCGUGGGUAGCAAACAGG